UACGGGGGGAGCAAGCGUUGUUCGGAUUUACUGGGCGUAAAGGGCGCGUAGGCGGCGUAACAAGUCACUUGUGAAAUCUCCGGGCUUAACUCGGAGCGGUCAAGUGAUACUGUUGUGCUAGAGUGCGGAAGGGGCUACUGGAAUUCUCGGUGUAGCGGUGAAAUGCGUAGAUAUCGAGAGGAACACCUGCGGCGAAGGCGGGUAGCUGGGCCGACACUGACGCUGAAGCGCGAAAGCCAGGGGAGCGAACGGG
rnacentral:rRNA from 1 species